AUUUUUAAUGGGAUGUUUUCAGAAGGAAAUGCCACGUGGCACCUGCAUGUGCUGAACCAUGAGAGGCCUGAUGGGCUGUCCUUAUGUCACCAGGCCAAAAAGGGAAGAAAUCUGGAGACAGAGGUUUUGGAGUAACCCUGACCCAAGGAGAUGCAGGGAUCUUGCCCAUGUCCGCUCUCACACCUAGCCAAGAAGGGGAUUCUCCAGCUGCAUACAGGAGAAAGGAUCUUGUGCCUUACCACCAGAAGAGACCAAGUCCUGGGAAGCCAUGAGUCAGCUGAGGAUGUGAUGCCAGAGUGGAUCUGCAGCUGAAGAGCUCGUGGGACCAGGAUGUGGUCUGUGAAUGCUGUAUAUCCUUAAAUGCAUGCAAUUUCUGCUUUAUUUGCUUUUCAUGGGGCUCCUAGGAGUACAUUUUUCCCCUGAAGAGGAACUGGUGGCAUCAGGCACGUGGCAUUUCCACCACUUGGGGUGAUCACAGAGAGGGAACAGCAAAGCCUGGAGAGGUGUUUUAUACAAGAAUGCCCUCUUUAACGGGGACACUGCUGUCUGUCAAAGGUUGAACUGAUCUUUUCAGCAGUAGAUUUUCUGUCUUCUUCCUACCUGUCUAACUUUCAUGGUUUUUGAAGGAGUUAAGCAUUAUUUUUUUUUUUUUUGGGUGUCUUUCAUAUUGUGCAAGCUUUAGACACUGCACUGGGAAAGUUUUAAGGGAAGAAAACCAGCAGUAGCUGUUGACAGACACACAGACAUUUUCUUGGGCAAGCAGGGUAAAAAGCUGUCUGUGUGUAUUAUAGCGCUAUAUUCUUGAUGUACACAGUAAAAUAUGAGGAGGUUUUUUGGUCUGAUUGAUUUUUCAGCCAUGUUAAUGAGAUCUAGGCAUUAGUAUGUGAAGCAAUUAUAAGUAAUUAAGGUUAUUAUAAACCAUGUAAUUUGACGAA
rnacentral:lncRNA from 1 species